CAUGCUGGAGGUAUCAGAAGUGCGAAUGCUGACAUAAGUAACGAUAAAGCGGGUGAAAAGCCCGCUCGCCGGAAGACCAAGGGUUCCUGUCCAACGUUAAUCGGGGCAGGGUGAGUCGACCCCUAAGGCGAGGCCGAAAGGCGUAGUCGAUGGGAAACGGGUUAAUAUUCCCGUACUUGGUGUUACUGCGAAGGGGGGACGGAGAAGGCUAUGUUGGCCGGGCGACGGUUGUCCCGGUUUAAGCGUGUAGGUGUGUGUUCCAGGUAAAUCCGGUUCACUUUAACACUGAGGCGUGACGACGAGGCACUACGGUGCUGAAGCAACAAAUGCCCUGCUUCCAGGAAAAGCCUCUAAGCAUCAGGUAACAUCAAAUCGUACCCCAAACCGACACAGGUGGUCAGGUAGAGAAUACCAAGGCGCUUGAGAGAACUCGGGUGAAGGAACUAGGCAAAAUGGUGCCGUAACUUCGGGAGAAGGCACGCUGACACGUAGGUGAAGUGAUUUACUCAUGGAGCUGAAGUCAGUCGAAGAUACCAGCUGGCUGCAACUGUUUAUUAAAAACACAGCACUGUGCAAACACGAAAGUGGACGUAUACGGUGUGACGCCUGCCCGGUGCCGGAAGGUUAAUUGAUGGGGUCAGCGCAAGCGAAGCUCCUGAUCGAAGCCCCGGUAAACGGCGGCCGUAACUAUAACGGUCCUAAGGUAGCGAAAUUCCUUGUCGGGUAAGUUCCGACCUGCACGAAUGGCGUAAUGAUGGCCAGGCUGUCUCCACCCGAGACUCAGUGAAAUUGAACUCGCUGUGAAGAUGCAGUGUACCCGCGGCAAGACGGAAAGACCCCGUGAACCUUUACUAUAGCUUGACACUGAACAUUGAGCCUUGAUGUGUAGGAUAGGUGGGAGGCUUUGAAGUGUGGACGCCAGUCUGCAUGGAGCCGACCUUGAAAUACCACCCUUUAAUGUUUGAUGUUCUAACGUGGACCCGUAAUCCGGGUUGCGGACAGUGUCUGGUGGGUAGUUUGACUGGGGCGGUCUCCUCCUAAAGAGUAACGGAGGAGCACGAAGGUUGGCUAAUCCUGGUCGGACAUCAGGAGGUUAGUGCAAUGGCAUAAGCCAGCUUGACUGCGAGCGUGACGGCGCGAGCAGGUGCGAAAGCAGGUCAUAGUGAUCCGGUGGUUCUGAAUGGAAGGGCCAUCGCUCAACGGAUAAAAGGUACUCCGGGGAUAACAGGCUGAUACCGCCCAAGAGUUCAUAUCGACGGCGGUGUUUGGCACCUCGAUGUCGGCUCAUCACAUCCUGGGGCUGAAGUAGGUCCCAAGGGUAUGGCUGUUCGCCAUUUAAAGUGGUACGCGAGCUGGGUUUAGAACGUCGUGAGACAGUUCGGUCCCUAUCUGCCGUGGGCGCUGGAGAACUGAGGGGGGCUGCUCCUAGUACGAGAGGACCGGAGUGGACGCAUCACUGGUGUUCGGGUUGUCAUGCCAAUGGCACUGCCCGGUAGCUAAAUGCGGAAGAGAUAAGUGCUGAAAGCAUCUAAGCACGAAACUUGCCCCGAGAUGAGUUCUCCCUGAGACUUAGAGUCUCCUGAAGGAACGUUGAAGACGACGACGUUGAUAGGCCGGGUGUGUAAGCGCAGCGAUGCGUUGAGCUAACCGGUACUAAUGAACCGUGAGGCUUAACCUUACAACGCCGAAG
rnacentral:rRNA from 1 species